rnacentral:rRNA from 3 species
UUAAGCAUAUCAAUAAGCNGGAGGAA